rnacentral:RNase_P_RNA from 1 species
CGAGUAAGACAUGCAAUCGCUGCUAGACUAGAUCUAGGAGAGGAAAGUCGGAGCUCCAUAGGGCAGGGUGCUGGAUAACGUCCAGUCAAGGCGACUUGAAGGAAAGUGCAACAGAGAGAUACCGCCUAAAGUUUAAACUUAUAACUUCUAAUUUAUUAGAAUGUAUAAGUUCCACUAACCAAAUCGUAGAUUUGGAGUGUUAUUUAGGUAAGGGUGGAAAGGCGAGGUAAGAGCUCACCAGCAUCAUGGUGACAUGAUGGCUAUGUAAACCCCACUUGGAGCAAGGUCGAAUAGGGAAACAUUUUGGAGUUGCCCGCUCCGUUUCCGGGUGUACCGCUUGAGCUUAUUGGUAACAAUAAGCCUAGAUAGAUGAUUGCUUAAUACAGAACUCCGCUUAUGGCUUGUCUCGCAUA